rnacentral:rRNA from 1 species
CAGAACUCCGAAGUUAAGCGUGCUUGGGCGAGAGUAGUACUAGGAUGGGUGACCUCCUGGGAAGUCCUCGUGUUGCAUUCC